UCUGGUUACACAAGUAAUGUAGGUGGAUAUGGCCUUACAUAUUGAUCUGGAAACCUCCACCCACCCAUUUAAUGCAGCAGUCACCUUUGAGACUUGUGUGAGUGUUGAUUAGUGUUGAAGCGUGUUUGCCCCUUUAACUCUGCAGAUCUCAUAUCUCCAAAAGACUCUGAGGCUGUGCCAUUUGGAGGCAGUUAUGUAAUGCACAACUCGUGUAACAAACAUCAGACGAACAUUAAGCUUGAAUAAAUAUCACAAACCCAGCUUCAUAUUCAUGAGCUCAGUCAUAGGUCAGGACAUGUGAGAGGUUAAAGGCAGUUCAUGCAUUUAAUGUAUUAAUAUUUAAAAUGUAUUUAUAUUGUUCAUAUGUAUGUGAUUCAGGAUUUUUUUUAUUUUUAAUCUUUGUUUCCACAGAUGGAUUGAAAUAUUUCACGCCUGUACCUCCUACAUGAUUCUCAGAGUUUGUAAUCAGCAUAUGUUGCGCACACCUUCAAAGACGUGAUAGUUAGCGCACAACUUCUGAACAGUAAAAAAGAAAAAAAGGUGAACGUGGGCCAAACAUGGUAGCCGACCGAGAUGGAAUAAAGAUGAGACGCUGAAAUGAAGAUGAUGGUAUCAUAUGUACAUGGAGACAUGCUGCAUCAGGUUUAAUGCUUGCUCGAGUUUCAAAUGCGGCCUGAUUCAUAUAUUCUCUUUUUCUUCUUCAAAAACACAUAAAGUGCUGAUAAAUGGUUUGAAGAGAGAGGCACUAAAAGGAUGAAAUUCCAUAAGAGACUGAACGGAGCGAGUGUGGUAUCAGGCGUCGACGGGGAAUCCAAACAAGUGGCCAUCUCACUCUCCACCAUCUGCGCUCUGAAGACAGCUUUGCAGCGGCCACAAGCAUUCUUCAAACGCUCUUUGGAGGCCGGUUUGGAAAGUUUGUGAUGGUGAUAUCUCUCUGUUUAAAACUCUAAAGACUAAACUUUGAAGCUGAAACUUUUUUGGAAAGGUUUUUAGAAGUUUGAUAUCUUGUUUUUUUUUUUUUUUUUUGUGAACUAAAAGCAAAGUAUUCUAUUCAUGCUCGCUUCUUACUUUAGCGUUGACUUUCUCCAGUACUCAAGAGGGCGCAAGAGUUGCCUUAAAACUAGGCCUGCUAUUCACGGUCAUGUACUUGCAUAGAACAUGUUUCACCAUUUUAUGUGAACGUGAAUAUUCCAUAGAAGUAUUUGAACACUUAAGUCACACUUAAAAAAUCUCUGAGUAUCUCAUUGUGUUAUUUUAGAAUUGUUAUAUGCAGUUGAAGUUUUAAAUAAUAAUUUGGAUUAGCUUUUGUUCAUACGUGUUUUUGUGUGUGUGUGUGUGUGUGUGUGUGUGUGUGUGUGUGUGUGUGUGUGCGUAAUAUUAGUUUUAGUUUUCAUAUUUCUAUUUAGCUUUAAUUUAUUUUUAUUUUUGUACUUAGGCUUACUUCAAUUAGUUUGCCGAGGCAACAGUUCUAAUUUUCAUUUAAAGGGGGGGUGAAAUGCUAUUUCAUGCAUACUGAGUUUUUUACACUGUUAAAGAGUUGGAUUCCCAUGCUAAACAUGGACAAAGUUUCAAAAAUUAAGUUGUACGUUUGAAAGAGUAUUUUUGUUCCAAAAAAUACUCCUUCCGGUUUGUCACAAGUUUCGGAAAGUUUUUUUCGAGU
ensembl:lncRNA